ACUCCUACGGGAGGCAGCAGUGGGGAAUAUUGCACAAAUGGGCGCAAAGCCUGAUGCAGCCAUGCCGCGUGUGUGAAGAAGGCCCUUCGGGUUGUAAAAGCACUUUCAGUUGUGAGGAAAGGUUAGUCGCUAAUAUCGGCUAGCUGUGACGUUAGCACAGAAGAAGCACCGGCUAACUCCGUGCCAGCAGCCGCGGUAAUACGGAGGGUGCGAGCGUUAAUCGGAAUUACUGGGCGUAAAGCGCAUGCAGGUGGCUUGUUAAGUCAGAUGUGAAAGCCCGGGGCUCAACCUCGGAAUUGCAUUUGAAACUGGCAGACUAGAGUACUGUAGAGGGGGGGUUAGAAUUUCAGGUGUAGCGGUGAAAUGCGUAGAGAUCUGAAGGAAUACCGGUGGCGAAGGCGGCCCCCUGGACAGAUACUGACACUCAGAUGCGAAA
rnacentral:rRNA from 1 species